GACGAACGCUGGCGGCGUGCUUAACACAUGCAAGUCGAACGGAAAGGCCCUGCUUUUGUGGGGUGCUCGAGUGGCGAACGGGUGAGUAACACGUGAGUAACCUGCCCUUGACUUUGGGAUAACUUCAGGAAACUGGGGCUAAUACCGGAUAGGAGCUCCUGCUGCAUGGUGGGGGUUGGAAAGUUUCGGCGGUUGGGGAUGGACUCGCGGCUUAUCAGCUUGUUGGUGGGGUAGUGGCUUACCAAGGCUUUGACGGGUAGCCGGCCUGAGAGGGUGACCGGCCACAUUGGGACUGAGAUACGGCCCAGACUCCUACGGGAGGCAGCAGUGGGGAAUAUUGCACAAUGGGCGGAAGCCUGAUGCAGCAACGCCGCGUGCGGGAUGGCGGCCUUCGGGUUGUAAUCCGCUUUCGCCUGUGACGAAGCGUGAGUGACGGUAAUGGGUAAAGAAGCACCGGCUAACUACGUG
rnacentral:rRNA from 1 species